CCUACGGGUGGCAGCAGUGAGGAAUAUUGGUCAAUGGGCGCGAGCCUGAACCAGCCAAGUAGCGUGAAGGAUGACUGCCCUACGGGUUGUAAACUUCUUUUAUAAAGGAAUAAAGUUAGGCACGUGUGCCUGUUUGUAUGUACUUUAUGAAUAAGGAUCGGCUACCUCCGUGCCAGCAGCCGCGGUAAUACGGAGGAUCCGAGCGUUCUCCGGAUUUAUUGGUGUUAAAGGGAGCGUAGACGGGUUGUUAAGUCAGUUGGGAACGUUUGCGGCUCAACCGUAAAAUUGCAAUUGAUACUGGCAGUCUUGAGUACAGAUGCGGUAGGCGGAAUUCGUGGUGUAGCGGUGAAAUGCUUAGAUAUCACGAAGAACUCCGAUUGCGAAGGCAGCCUACUAAACUGCCACUGACAUUGAUGCUCGAAAGUGUGGGUAUCAAACAGGAUUAGAUACCCCUGUAGUC
rnacentral:rRNA from 1 species